rnacentral:rRNA from 1 species
CAGCAGUCGCCACGGGAAUACGUAGGGGGCGAGCGUUGUCCGAAGUUACUGGGCGUAAAGAGCGCGUAGGCUGGUCUUUAAGUGAGUGGUGAAAGGUUCGGGCUCAACCCGGACACUGCCUUUCAUACUGGAGACCUUGAGUGUGGGAGAGGCGAGUGGAAUGGUCGGUGUAGCGGUGAAAUGCGUAGAUAUCGAUCGGAACACCCAUGGCGAAGGCAGCUCGCUGGCCUAACACUGACGCUGAGGCGCGAAAGCGUGGGGAGCAAGCAGGAUUAGAUACCCGGGUAGUCCCUGUCUCUUAUAU